AGACACCACAUGCGCAGGGCCGACUGCAUUCCCACGGCGACGGCCUCCUGGCCCGCAUCAUGACUGUUGUUUUCCUCGCGGUGGCCAUAGCUUUUGGAUUUUACAUUCAGAUUGGUUCAAGGGGCUUUUUCCUUUCUCUGUUUGAAGGAAGCCACCCUCUCGAUCCCCAGUCAGCGUGGCGUCCUCUCAGCAACCCGCUCCUGGUCUUGCUUUGACUCCUGUGCUCCCGGGCUGCCGAGAACACGUCUGGAGCUUUUAAAUCAGGGUGAGUCCCAGCCGCCGAGGAAGCACUGAACAAAAAGGCCACCGCUGGGGAGCUGCAGGGGCACAGACGGAGCCUGGGAGCGGGGCUGACCAUGGGGAAGAAGGGGAGGUGGGAAAGAAGGCCCGGCCACCUCCACUGCUACAGCCACAGCGACAACAGUAGACAGUGACAGGCCCUGCCUGCCACGCACUGCAGAGUCUGUGGCUCUCCCCUGUUAAGUAAGAGCAGUCGGCGCUGACGUUCAGUGAGGUCAUGAGGAUACUCACAGAACUUUCUGGAAUAAGGGUCAGGCUGCGAAGCAUUCCCCAGACAUUGUAACAUCCAGCCAGUCACUCGUGGCAUUUAGCUUUUAGGUUCAUCUCUGUGAAUAAUCAUCACAAAUAUUUACUGAGCAUCCUUCAUCUCCUGGAAGCCUCGUGGAUUAUCUUGCUGAAUCCUCACCACAGCAGCCCGCUGAGGGAGGUGCUAUCAUCGUCCCUGUUUUUCAAGGGAGAGAAUCAAGGUUUGGGCAGGUGCAGUGACCUGGGGCGGUGCGGGGGGUGGGGGCGGGGUCUAUUUCUGGCAGUCCUUCUUACGCUCAUCCUGACUUAAUAAUACUGUUUCUGCAUUUACUGCAAAAUGGGCUCCCCCAGGGGUUACCCACAGAGACACAUUUUCUCUUUUCUCUCCUCCACUCAUGAGCUCAGUUGCGUGCUACGUUAUCUGCCUUGUCUUCCCAGGCGUACUUUAACUUCUGCAGAGCAGACUGAAACUAUGUCCGCCAGGCCAGGGCUUUCAUUGCCCCCACCCAACUCUCUCCUGUCCCUGCCCCUACCUCAUCCUAUCAGCUAGCCGUCAAAAGAGCAACCGGAAAAUCCCACACUUUGGUUAAUAAAGCUAAUAUUAGAAAGAAUCACUAAAAGUUAAGCUUUAGGGUCGAAUCCAUUGAUAAGUGUUUAAUACACUGACCAUUUCAUCUGAUAUUUUAUUUUUUUAAUUUUAAAAUUAAUUAAUUGUUUAUUGUUUAUUUUUUAGAGACAGGGUGUCACUCCAGAGUGGAGUGUGGUGGUGCAAACAUAGCUCACUGCAGCCUCCAACUCCUGGGCUCAAACAAUCUUCUUGCUUCAGCCUCCCAAGUAGCUGGGACUACAGGUACAUGCCACCACACCUGACUAAUUUUUUUUGUUGUUUUUUUGGUUUUUUUAGGGACAAGGUCUUGCUAUGUUGCCCAAGCUGAUCUUGAACUCCUGGCCUCAAGCAAUCCCAAUAGUUCGGUCUCCCAAAUUGCUGAGAUUGUGGGUACAAGCCACUGCACCUGGACUUCUUCUGACAUUAUAAAGCAAAGAGCAUUUUCAAAAGCUGAUGCUACUUGUGCAUAUUCCAUAUUUGCUGAGCGCUUACUGUGUCCCCAUUAAGUGCCAGGCACAGUUUUCAGCACUGCUUUAAAGUGUCUACAAGCUUAGAAAGGGCAUAGGCAUCUCUUGAAAUCCAGUGUUCUAGGGAAAGUUUUUCCUGUGGUUUUGCACAGAACCCACCGCUUCCUGUCCAAGGUGACAGCUUUAGCUGGGAGAGAAAUUAAAAAUGCCUCCUUGGAAUAGCUAUCUGAUGUGUCUAAAUAUGAUUGCUGAUGUUAGCAAUAGGACCUGCCUAUUAGCAAUGGUUUGGGCAACUGUAUGUGUGAGGCAGGGAGAGAAAGAGGAAGAAAAUACAGCUCUCACUAUUGUUUCCAAAUGGCAAGACUGGUUUUCCUGCUACCUACUAACCAGUGUAGUUAUUAGUGUUACAUAUCACCUCUGCAUCUUAUUUAUGUAAUAUUCCAAGAAGCUAAAAAAAAAAACCUCUUUUUUUUUUUUUUUUUACAAAUCUUAGAUUUUAUGAACACUUGCUAAUAGCCCCCCCCUCCUAGAUCGUCAUUGCUGUGUAACAAAUUGUCAUACAUUUAGCAGUUUAAAAUACCACACAUUUACUCACAGCUUCCAUGGGCCACGAGUGUGGGGACGAGUGACUGGGUCGUCUGCUCAGGGUCUCUUACAAGACUCCAUCAGCGUUUCAGCUGGGGCUGGGGUCUCAUCUGAGGCUCAGGGUCCUCACUCCAGGUCACAGGGCAGAAUUCAUUUCUUUCAAGCUACGGAUCUCAUGGCAGCUUGCUUUUUCAAGGCCAGCAAGGGAGAGAGUGAAUCUGCUGCUUUUAGUGUCUGACCUCUCGAUCUUCUUUUAAAUGGCUCAUCUGAUUAGGGCAGACCCACCCAGGAUAAUCUCUCUUUUGACUAACUUACAGUCAACUCAUUAGAGAUCCUAAUUACAUCUGCAAAAAUCCCCUCACCUUUGCCUGAUAAUGUGACAUCAUCACGGGGGCAAUAUCCCAUCACUUUUGCCAUAUACUAUUGGCUAGAAGCAAAUUAAGGUCCUGCUACCACUCAAGGGGAGGGGAUUACACAAGGGCAUGGGACAUCAGGGGUCAUCUUAGAAUUCUGGCAACCAGAAUAAGCUACUUGUGGAUAGACAUGUUGUCAUACAUAUUUUUUGUUCAGUCAUUAUGCUUAGCAGAGAAAUAGGCACACAGCAGAAAAAUAACUGAUUGGUACGGAGAAUUUAGUGAUUGGAAACGAAUUAAUAUUGUUAAGACACAAAGUUUCUUGCAGAGCACACUCUGAAAAAGGUCACUUUUUACCCCUCAAUAUGUCUUAAUGGGUUGAGGUAGAGAGAAGCGUGGGUAGGUAUCAAUCACGAGAGCACACAGGCUAAAAGAAAGAAAAAAUGAGCUGGGACAUCUAAGUUCAACUUCCACUUCCUCCUAUACAAGCUGGGUGACCUUUUCCUAUCUAGAAAGUGGGAGAAGUAGUUCCUGUCCUCCCUUACAGGGCUGCUGAGCAGGCAGAAUGAGAUGAUGGGCUGAGAGGGCUUGGAGAGGACAAACUGUGGGUACAAAAGUCUUAUUGUCCUGGCCCGGAUUGCUAAGGAGAUGGUGGUUAAUAAUAUGCUGCUAUCUCAUGAGGUAAAUGCGUGAUCACAUAGCCAAGAGAUGCCUUUUUGUUCUAAUGAUCACUGUAAGACCUUCUUGAGAGACAGUCCAAGUCUCUCCAGCACAAUGGAAAAUUGCAUUUUCUAUGCACACAUUCGAGGGGAAAGAGACCCCUCCAACGUUCUUCUCAGUUUUACCCCAAAGUUGAGUUCUGGGUCAAAAAUCUCUCAAGCGUCCUCCACAGCUGACUUCCACAGUCCCCUGUGUGUCUCUGCAAGGAACACAAAGGAAGUGAGAUAGUGGGAAGUCUGGGGCCAUCUUCGGUCACGUGAGAAUUCCCUCUCAGUUAGCCGGGGCGUGCAGCCGCACAGAAGGAAGGCAGCCACGCAGCUCCAGUCCAGGCUGGGAGAGAGCUUUGUAGAUCCAUCUCCCACUGAGCAGGCUUCCCUCCUGCAAGGAGAGACUCUACCGAUAAUGUGUUAAGAUCAGAUUAAUGCAGGAAAUACACAUGAAAUAAAUAAUAACAGUGUAAUAACAGUGGCUGUCAUUGCAAUGGUUAUUUCUGUUAAAAAUGUGAGAUCUACACUACGGAUUUCUUAGGAUAAUUUUGCCCUUACUUAAAAGAAACUGACAGAUGUACUUUAUAAAAAUGAAAAUAAUUUAACAAAUAAAGAAUUGGAGAAUAU
rnacentral:lncRNA from 1 species